GCCUUUAAGAGGGGGAUAACAUUCUGAAAAGGAUGCUAAUACCGCAUAAUGUAUAGACAUCACAUGGUGUCAAUACCAAAGAUUUAUUGCUUAAAGAUGGACUCGCGUCCGAUUAGUUAGUUGGUGAGGUAACGGCUCACCAAGACCGCGAUCGGUAGCCGGACUGAGAGGUUGAACGGCCACAUUGGGACUGAGACACGGCCCGGACUCCUACGGGAGGCAGCAGUGGGGGAUAUUGCGCAAUGGGGGAAACCCUGACGCAGCAACGCCGCGUGAAGGAUGAAGGUCUUCGGAUUGUAAACUUCUUUUAUUAAGGACGAAUAAAGUGACGGUACUUAAUGAAUAAGCUCCGGCUAACUACGUGCCAGCAGCCGCGGUAAUACGUAGGGAGCAAGCGUUGUCCGGAUUUACUGGGUGUAAAGGGUGCGUAGGCGGCAAAGCAAGUCAGAUGUGAAAUCUAUGGGCUCAACCCAUAGCGUGCAUUUGAAACUGCGUUGCUUGAGUGAAGUAGAGGCAGGCGGAAUUCCCCGUGUAGCGGUGAAAUGCGUAGAGAUGGGGAGGAACACCAGUGGCGAAGGCGGCCUGCUGGGCUUUAACUGACGCUGAGGCACGAAAGCGUGGGUAGCAAACAGGAUUAGAUACCCUGGUAGUCCACGCUGUAAACGAUGAUUACUAGGUGUGGGGGGUCUGACCCCUUCCGUGCCGGAGUUAACACAAUAAGUAAUCCACCUGGGGAGUACGACCGCAAGGUUGAAACUCAAACGAAUUGACGGA
rnacentral:rRNA from 1 species